rnacentral:rRNA from 1 species
GAUGAAUGCUGGCGGCGUGCUUAACACAUGCAAGUCGAACGAAGCACUUUAUUUGAUUUCCUUCGGGACUGAUUAUUUUGUGACUGAGUGGCGGACGGGUGAGUAACGCGUGGGUAACCUGCCUUGUACAGGGGGAUAACAGUUGGAAACGGCUGCUAAUACCGCAUAAGCGCACGGCAUCGCAUGAUGCAGUGUGAAAAACUCCGGUGGUAUAAGAUGGACCCGCGUUGGAUUAGCUAGUUGGUGAGGUAACGGCCCACCAAGGCGACGAUCCAUAGCCGACCUGAGAGGGUGACCGGCCACAUUGGGACUGAGACACGGCCCAAACUCCUACGGGAGGCAGCAGUGGGGAAUAUUGCACAAUGGGCGAAAGCCUGAUGCAGCGACGCCGCGUGAGCGAAGAAGUAUUUCGGUAUGUAAAGCUCUAUCAGCAGGGAAGAUAAUGACGGUACCUGACUAAGAAGCACCGGCUAAAUACGUG